CCACGCGCGGGCUUUUUGAAAACUUGACUGUUGGGGUUGGGGGCCUGGAUUUACCCGCCGCAGUUCGGCCGGGCUGCCACACCUGGCAUCCUCUCCGGCCCCCCCCCCCCCCCGUCCGCACAAAGAUGGAGGGUAGAGGCCUGGUCGGGAAAGGCAGUUACAACCGUUUACUGGGGGCCCGACGCGCGGUUAAACUAAAACACUGGCACGUGGCCCUGCGCAAAAGCGAGCCCGAGGCCAGGUGAAGGGCGGCGGUGUGCCACAAGCGCUUCCGAUUUCCGACCGAGGCGUGGCGCGAGACUCGCCGCCACCCUGCGGCCAUCUGUGAAGCCCUUACCGACGCCCCUCUCAGCCUCCCCUCGCGCACUCCGACAGCUGGCAUUUUCAUUUUACUAAAGGGAACACAUCGUUUUAUAGGUUUACGUUAACUAUGCGUUGCUUCCUUCCCAACACGUUAGCUUUUUUCAAGCAUUUUAUAACAAACCGGGGGCCAAAGGAGUUAAACACAAAGACAUACAUCAAUAUCACGCACCCCUGAUCAUUGCCUGAGUUUGUUUCCUGGUUUUACCUUGCUUACCAGUGUGUCUCAGCCUUCCAAAUCCAUCCCUCUUGCAAGCUUGAUUACAGAAACCUAAUUGAAUGUGGUGGUUACACAACUCCUACAACUCCACACUAAAAAAGAAAGAUACACCAGGGGUACAUGUGCACAGAAGAAUGACCACAUGAAGAGGCAGCAAGAGGAUGGCCAUCUGUAAGCCAGAGAGACUUCUCAGAAGAGCACAACACUGCUGGCACUUUGAUCUUGGACCUCCAGACCCCAGAACUGCAAGAAAAUUAAUUUCUGUUUUGUUUUUUAAUUUCUGAUGUUUAAGCCACCAGCAUUCUGUGGUAUUUUCUUAUGGAAGCUCUAGAAAACUAAGAUAUGUUCCAUUUUUAUUUACUCAAGGUACCUUCCAAAAGGGUACUUUCUGUCAUUUACUAUGAGCUACAGUCCUUCUAGUGAACUCUAUUACAACUCAAAUCAAAAGCCUUAAAAUAUGACCCAUUUUUCCAACCAGUUAUUAUGCUUCUGGACAUUUAUGCUAAGGAAAUAAGUGAGGAUCUGUGUGAAGACUUAGCUACAAGGAUUUCAAUACUGUUCAUAGUAGAAAAAAAAUUUACAAACUACCUAAUUUCCCUCAAAUGGGUUAAUUAAAAAAUAAUCAUUUUCUAGCUAAAAAUAUUAUGAAGUACUUAAGUUGAUAUUAUAGAGGAAAAAUAAUGACUUGUGUUUGGUAUGAAUCUUACACCAUCAUGAUGAUGUGUGAAAGGUCACAUUACUUAUUUUACCAAAUUUAGUCUGACUCUGAACCCCACAGUUGACAGAACGGCAAAAAUGUCAUUAUUGGGGCUCCUCUCACAUUUUUCACUCAAAGGCACUUGCCUUUCUCCACUUCCCCUCUUGGGCAAUCUAAGACUAAAACUCUGAAUAAAAUGCUUUUUGUUUUAAAAAUAUAAUGAAAAAAAAGAACCUGACAUGUUGAAGAAUCAAGGGGUCCAUGCUAGUUCAUAUGAUAAUACAUUAUUAUAUUCAAUAAUAAAAUAACAAUUAAAAUAUAUAUAUUAAAAAAGCCACCAUGAGGAUGGGCUUUAAAAGGGACUGUCCUGAGGCAAAAUAAUACACAGACCUAUUUAAUCUGUGGAUAUACUAAUUGUAUCUUAUUUGACUGCUUGUGUAUUCCUUUUCCUUGGGUACAAAAUGUAGGCUUUCAGAAGGGAAUUAUAUCAAUUUCCUUCAUAUGAGAGGAGAUAUGAAAGGAGAAGGGCUUGGUAUUAAAAAAAUGACAGUUUCCCAAGUUUAGAAGAAGUGACCAAACAAAAGUUACAAGCUUCCAGUUAAAGAUAAGUAAGUCCUGGGGAUGUAAUGAACCACAUAGUGACUAUAGUUAACAAUUAUGUUCUGCAUAUUUGAAAGUUGCUAAGAGAGUAGAUCUUAAAAGUCCUCAUCAAGAAAAAAACUAUGUAUGGUGAAGAAUGCUAAUUCAACUUGUGGUAAGCAUUUUGCAAUAUAUACAUAUAUCAUCAGGUCAUUAUGUUGUAUGCCUAAAACUAAUACAAUGUUA